UACGUAGGGGCUAGCGUUGUCCGGAUUAUUGGGCGUAAAGGAGCGUGUAGGCGGCCAGGUAGGUCUGGUGUGAAAACUCGAGGCCUUAACCUCGAGAUGCAUCGGAAACCAUCUGGCGUAGAGUCCGGAAGAGGAGAGUGGAAUUCCUGGUGUAGCGGUGAAAUGCGCAGAUAUCAGGAAGAACACCCGUGGCGAAGCGGCUCACUGGGGUUUCUGACGCUGAGGAACGAAAGCCAGGGAGACGAACGGG
rnacentral:rRNA from 1 species